rnacentral:tRNA from 1 species
UCUAUUGUGGCAGAAAUUAAAUGCAAUAAAUUUAAGAUUUAUUUAUAGAUUUACUCUCUUUAGAA